rnacentral:misc_RNA from 1 species
UAGAAUAAUACUGGUGAGUGCUUAACUUAAUGGCACAAAUUACUUACCAUGCAGUUGGUUGAUGUUGAUCUCAUUGCAAGCCAAGGACAAGCUUGGAUUUAUCAAUGGAGAGACUAUGAAACCUGCAAUAACAUCACUAGAUUUUAAAAAAUGGAAGAGAGUUGAUUACAUGGUAAUUUCAUGGAUCCUUAAUGCAAUUGCAAAAGAUCUAGCAAAAACUUUCCUCUAUGCUACAUUUGCUAAGUAGUUAUGGGAGGAAUUACAGCAAAGAUUUGGAGAAAGUAAUGGACUAUUACUUUGCAAAAUAAAAAGAGAAAUUAGCUCUUUCACACGAGGGAAUAUGCCAUUGAUGGUUUUACUUUACCAAGCUUAAGAAAUGUGGGAUGAG